UACGAAGGGGGCUAGCGUUGCUCGGAAUCACUGGGCGUAAAGGCGCGUAGGCGGCCACCGCAAGUCGACUGUGAAAUCUCCGGGCUUAACCCGGAAAGGUCAGCCGAUACUGCGGGGCUAGAGUGCAGAAGGGGCAACUGGAAUUCUCGGUGUAGCGGUGAAAUGCGUAGAUAUCGAGAGGAACACCUGCGGCGAAGGCGGGUUGCUGGGCUGACACUGACGCUGAGGCGCGAAAGCUAGGGGAGCGAACGGG
rnacentral:rRNA from 1 species